rnacentral:rRNA from 1 species
CCUACGGGAGGCAGCAGUGAGGAAUAUUGGUCAAUGGACGAGACUCUGAACCAGCCAAGUCGCGUGAGGGAUGACGGCCCUAUGGGUUGUAAACUUCUUUUAUAAAGGAAUAAACCGCGGCACGUGUGCCUUUUUGCAUGUACUUUAUGAUUAAGGAUCGGCUAACUCCGUGCCAGCAGCCGCGGUAAUCCGGAGGAUCCGAGCGUUAUCCGGAUUUAUUGGGUUUAAAGGGAGCGUAGAUGGGUGGGUAAGUCAGAUGUGAAAGUGUGCGGCUCAACCGUAAAAGUGCAAUUGAGACUGGCAGUCUAGAGUGCAGGAGAGGUAAGCGGAAUUCGUGGUGUAGCGGUGAAAUGCUUAGAUAUCACGAAGAACACCGAUUGCGAAGGCAGCUUACUAAACUGUGACUGACAUUGAUGCUCGAAAGUGUGGGUAUCAAACAGGAUUAGAUACCCGGGUAGUC